rnacentral:rRNA from 1 species
GUAAGGAAUAUUGGUCAAUGGACGGAAGUCUGAACCAGCCAUCCCGCGUGCAGGAUGAAGGUCCUAUGGAUUGUAAACUGCUUUUAGCAGAGACGAAACGCCGACAUUUAUGUUGGUCUGACGGUAUCUGCGGAAUAAGCACCGGCUAACUCCGUGCCAGCAGCCGCGGUAAUACGGAGGGUGCAAGCGUUAUCCGGAAUCACUGGGUUUAAAGGGUGCGUAGGCGGAUGAUUAAGUCAGUGGUGAAAGCUGGUCGCUUAACGAUCAAACUGCCAUUGAUACUGAUUGUCUUGAAUUGGGUUGAGGUUAGCGGAAUGUGACAUGUAGCGGUGAAAUGCAUAGAUAUGUCAUGGAACACCAAUUGCGAAGGCAGCUAACUGGGCCUUGAUUGACGCUGAGGCACGAAAGCGUGGGUAGCGAACAGGAUUAGAUACCCGGGUAGUCC